rnacentral:rRNA from 1 species
CGGUAAUACGGAGGGUGCAAGCGUUAAUCGGAAUUACUGGGCGUAAAGCGCACGCAGGCGGUCUGUCAAGUCGGAUGUGAAAUCCCCGGGCUCAACCUGGGAACUGCAUUCGAAACUGGCAGGCUAGAGUCUUGUAGAGGGGGGUAGAAUUCCAGGUGUAGCGGUGAAAUGCGUAGAGAUCUGGAGGAAUACCGGUGGCGAAGGCGGCCCCCUGGACAAAGACUGACGCUCAGGUGCGAAAGCGUGGGGAGCAAACAGGAUUA